rnacentral:rRNA from 1 species
CCUACGGGAGGCAGCAGUGGGGAAUUUUCCGCAAUGGGCGAAAGCCUGACGGAGCAAUACCGCGUGAGGGAAGACUGCCUAUGGGUUGUAAACCUCUUUUUUCAGGGAGGAAUAAAAUGACGUGUACCUGAAGAAUAAGCAUCGGCUAACUCCGUGCCAGCAGCCGCGGUAAGACGGAGGAUGCAAGUGUUAUCCGGAAUCACUGGGCGUAAAGCGUUUGUAGGUGGUUUGAUAAGUCAACUGUUAAAUCUUGAGGCUCAACUUCAAAAUCGCAGUCGAAACUAUUAGACUAGAGUAUAGUAGAGGUAAAGGGAAUUUCCAGUGGAGCGGUGAAAUGCGUAGAUAUUGGAAAGAACACCAAUGGCGAAAGCACUUUACUGGGCUAUUACUAACACUCAGAGACGAAAGCUAGGGUAGCAAAUGGGAUUAGAUACCCCAGUAGUCCUAGCCGUAAACUAUGGAUACUAGAUGUUGAACAGAUCGACCUGUGCAGUAUCAAAGCUAACGCGUUAAGUAUCCCGCCUGGGAAGUAUGCACGCAAGUGUGAAACUCAAAGGAAUUGACGG